GACAGAGGUUGCAAGCGUUGUUCGGAAUUACUGGGCCUAAAGCGCACGUAGGCGGUCCGCUAAGUCAUGUGUGAAAUCCCCCGGCUCAACCGGGGAAUGGCGCCUGAUACUGGCGGACUCGAGAUCGGUAGGGGUGAGUGGAACUCCAGGUGGAGCGGUGAAAUGCGUAGAUAUCUGGAGGAACACCGGUGGCGAAGGCGGCAUCCUGGACCGGUAUUGACGCUGAGGCGCGAAAGCCAGGGGAGCAAACGGG
rnacentral:rRNA from 1 species